rnacentral:lncRNA from 1 species
CAGCUUACAAACAGAGCAGUGGGUCCACCCAUCUUGAUCCUGGGGUACUGACAAGAAAUAUUUUGGAGAAGUUAGAUAGGGUAGAGGCAGAAGUAGACGCAAUUAAACAUGAAGGAUUGUGAAGGCAAAAGAUGAACCAGCCAGCCUAGUCUCUGGAUGCAUAAGCUCCAAGUGUGGAGGAGACCCGGAGAGAAAAGCAGACUGUUCUCUGUGUUUACCUGUAAGCACAGGCCGCAACCUGCCAUGCUGUUUUUAAAUGCCCAAGAGCUGGUGACAAGAGGGUUUCCCUUUGCCAUCUGGACCUGAUUGCCUUAGAGGUAAAGAUUCAAUACCCUUAAGAAGUUAGAUUCUAAAAGAUUAUAAAUUGGUGCCACUGCUUUUGAUUGCAAUUGAUCAAUUUCCGGAUAGAGAUUGCACAAUCCAUGAAGACACACAACACUCUCAGAAGUCACUGCUCCAUGCUGUGCCCCUCAUCCCUGCCUGGGAGCUCGGUAUCUCUGCCUCCCACCUUGCUAACCAGCACCUCUGCCUUCACUCAGAGCGCUCAGGACAUAGCUGUAAGCCACUCAAAAACAGUUCUUGAAAUCUCAAGUUCAAUACUGGCCUCCUAAAUCCUAGCAAUUCCCAGAGGAGUGAGAGGUGGGAGGUGGCAAGGAUGAAAGGCUGAUUUUAGCUCUGCAUUUGGGGCCUCUUGAAUCAUCUUUAUUUGAUGGGAAACUGGGAAGACUGGGGGAGGAUAACGUAUUAAGCUUAUUCCAUUGAAAAGACCUCACUAAGAUAUCAGGAAAAAGUCAGAUGAUAAUAUUAGAUUUA